GAUGAAUGCUGGCGGCGUGCCUAAUACAUGCAAGUCGAGCGAACGGACGAGAAGCUUGCUUCUCUGAUGUUAGCGGCGGACGGGUGAGUAACACGUGGAUAACCUACCUAUAAGACUGGGAUAACUUCGGGAAACCGGAGCUAAUACCGGAUAAUAUUUUGAACCGCAUGGUUCAAAAGUGAAAGACGGUCUUGCUGUCACUUAUAGAUGGAUCCUCGCUGCAUUAGCUAGUUGGUAAGGUAACGGCUUACCAAGGCAACGAUGCAUAGCCGACCUGAGAGGGUGAUCGGCCACACUGGAACUGAGACACGGUCCAGACUCCUACGGGAGGCAGCAGUAGGGAAUCUUCCGCAAUGGGCGAAAGCCUGACGGAGCAACGCCGCGUGAGUGAUGAAGGUCUUCGGAUCGUAAAACUCUGUUAUUAGGGAAGAACAUAUGUGUAAGUAACUGUGCACAUCUUGACGGUACCUAAUCAGAAAGCCACGGCUAACUACGUG
rnacentral:rRNA from 1 species